UGCAUCCUCCGUAACUGACGGAAUCAAGGUGGGUCACCACCGGGGAGCGGGGGAUUAUAUAUGUCGACCGUCUGGGCUUGCGCA
rnacentral:ncRNA from 2 species